rnacentral:misc_RNA from 1 species
GAAAUGCGAUAAGUAAUGUGAAUUGCAGAAUUCCGUGAUUCAUCGAAUCUUUGAACGCACAUUGCGCCCUCUGGUAUUCCGGGGGGCAUGCCUGUCCGAGCGUCAUUGCGAACCCCUCAAGCACGGCUUGUGUGAUGGGCCCUCCCGCGUCUUGGUCGUCAAGACGGGCCCGAAAUGCAGUGGCGGCUUCGCGGUUAUCCGAUCAGCCAGAGCGUAUGGGGACUUUCUCUCUGUCACACGCCCGCGGCGCGGACCGACGCCUGUCGACCUUUAUUCAUCUUUUUCUCGGUUGACCUCGGAUCAGGUAGGGAUACCCGCUGAACUUAAGC